CCUACGGGAGGCUGCAGUGAGGAAUAUUGCUCAAUGGCCGGAAGGCUGAACCAGCCAUGCCGCGUGAAGGUCAGUGCCCUAUGGGCGUUAAACUUCUUUUGUGCGGGAGCAAUAAUGGUCACGCUUGGCCAGACGAGAUUAACGUUCGCAUCAGCGUCGGCUUACUCCGGCCCAGCAGCCGCGGUCAUACUGGUGCGGCAAGCGUUAUCGGGAUUUAUUGGGGUUAAAGGGUGCGGAGGCGGGGAGGUAAGGCAGCGGUGAAAUGCCCCCGCUCAACGGGGGGAAGUGCCAUUGAUACUGACUAGCUGGAAUGUGUAUGCGGAGGGAGGAAUGUGAGGUGUAGGGGUGAAAUGCAUAGAUAUCACACAGAACAUCGGUUGCGAAGGCAACUAACGAAUCCACGAUUGACGCUGAUGCACGAAAGCGUGGGUAGCAAACAGGAUUAGAUACCCGUGUAGUC
rnacentral:rRNA from 1 species